rnacentral:rRNA from 1 species
CCUACGGGUGGCAGCAGUGAGGAAUAUUGGUCAAUGGGCGAGAGCCUGAACCAGCCAAGUCGCGUGAAGGAUGAAGGAUCUAUGGUUUGUAAACUUCUUUUAUAUGGGAAUAAAGUGAGGCACGUGUUCCUUUUUGUAUGUACCAUAUGAAUAAGCAUCGGCUAACUCCGUGCCAGCAGCCGCGGUAAUACGGAGGAUGCGAGCGUUAUCCGGAUUUAUUGGGUUUAAAGGGUGCGUAGGCGGUUAAUUAAGUCAGCGGUGAAAGUUUGUGGCUCAACCAUAACAUUGCCGUUGAAACUGGUUGACUUGAGUAUAUUUGAGGUAGGCGGAAUGCGUGGUGUAGCGGUGAAAUGCAUAGAUAUCACGAAGAACUCCGAUUGCGAAGGCAGCUUACUAAACUAUAACUGACGCUGAAGCACGAAAGCGUGGGUAUCAAACAGGAUUAGAUACCCUGGUAGUC